AGUGAACGCUGGCGGUAGGCCUAACACAUGCCAGUCGAACGGCAGCACAGUAAACGCUUGCUCUUACGGGUGGCGCGUAGCGGACGGGUGAGGAAUACAUCGGAAUCUACUCUUUCGCGGGGGAUAACGUAGGGAAACCUACGCUAAUACCGCAUACGACCUAUGGGUGAAAGCAUGGGACCUUUGGACCUUGCGCGAGUGAAUGAGCCGAUGUCGGCUUAGCUAGUUGGCGGGGAAAAGACCCACCAAGGCGACGAUCCGUAGCUGGACUGAGUGGAUGAUCAGCAACACUGGAACUGGAAGACGCUCCAGACGCCUACAGGAGGCAGCAGUGAGGAAUAUGAGACAAUGGGCGGAAGCCUGAUCCAGCAAAACCACGUGGGUGAAGAAGGCCUUCGGUUUGUAAAGCCCUUUUGUUGAGAAAGAAAAGCAGCAGGUUAAUACCCCGCUGUUCUGACGGUACCCAAAGAAUAAGCACCGGCUAACUUCGUG
rnacentral:rRNA from 1 species